GAAAUUUCUAAGUGUGCUAAGUGUGGAGGUUGUCUUGGCCUGUGAAAGAAGAGAGGGAUUCCAAGAAACUAGAGUUCUACCAAGGUUGUGGAAGAGAUCAAGUUAAAGUGUUCAAGGCAAAAGGUUCCUCGUUACUCACCCUGAAAUGUUGUGGUUGUGGUUUCCACCUACGAUGAUCGUACUUGUACGGGAGUAGAUGGCGUUGCAGAUGAGGCAGAGAUGAAGUAGCACGACGAGAGUUAUGGGAAUGACUAUGGGGGACUUAUCAUGUUUUAAGUAAUUUUAUGUUUUUGAAUAUUGAAUUUGAUAUUUGUAAGGUUUUAACUUUAUGUUGUAAGAUGCUUAAGCUUUAUGUUGUAAGACGCUUAAACUUUUG
rnacentral:sRNA from 1 species